CCAUACUAGCGUGAUCAUUGCUAUUGUUCUCGGACUUCCCAUUAUCCUCUUGGCUAUAUUACUGCUCUGCAAAUUUCAAAGGGUUUUUGAUAAAUUGUUCCCACCAGUCCCAGGCCCAUCCAUCAAGAUUAAAGGCCUGCUUGAGAAAGACAUCAUAUCUCAGAUCAUAUCACACAAAUGUGUGGAAGAGGUCACUGAGGUGGAAGUAAAAGAGGAUGGGGGUGAGGAGGAGGAGUGCUGGUGCAGACCUGCCAACCUUGAAGUAAUAUUUUGAGUAGGCCUACCACCUCGAGCCGCUCACGCCUUCAUCCAUGCGGCCGAAAAUGGUCACAUAACCAAGAUUUCCAGUAAUUUUCCUAUUUAAAAUAUGUCUCUUCUCAAGUUAGAAAGUGUAAUAAGACUAGCGGAAAAGGAAACGUGGGGCUUUGAAACGUGGCUUUUUGAUGUAUGGUGUUUAACUGUGGGAUUAUGCUUCCAUAGUGUUUUCUGUUUGCCAGUGACUGUCUUGAAUUGUAACGGAGCAAUUAAGCAGCUAAGAAGAAAUAGUAACUAUGUGCCUAGAAGUGUAACACAAAUAUCCAAUAAAACCUAAAAUAAAGCUGCAAGUGGCAAUGAAGGGGCCAAGCAACAGGCCAGGCCAUGUCAAGCAAGAAAAAAAUCAUGUGACUGUCCCAAAUCAGUGUGCCAAAAGAUGCAGAGCCAGCGCUAGGGUGGGGCAAAAGGGGGCGAUGCCACCUUGAAGACAUGCCUC